rnacentral:rRNA from 1 species
CCUACGGGGGGCAGCAGUGGGGAAUAUUGCACAAUGGGGGAAACCCUGAUGCAGCGAAGCCGCGUGAGUGAAGAAGUAUUUCGGUACGUAAAGCUCUAUCAGCAGGGAAGAAAAAAAGUCCUUUGGACUUUGGACGGUACCUGACCAAGAAGCCCCGGCUAACUACGUGCCAGCACCCGCGGUAAUACGGUGGGGGCAAGCGUUAUCCGGAUUUACGGGGUGUAAAGGGAGCGUAGACGGCAGCGCAAGGCUGGAGGGAAAUGCCGGGGCCCAACCCCGGAACUGCUUUGGAAAGUGGGCAGCUGGCGGGCAGGAGAGGGAAGCGGAAUUCCUAGGGUAGCGGUGAAAUGCGUAGAUAUUAGGAGGAACACCAGUGGCGAAGGCGGCUUACUGGACUGUAACUGACGUUGAGGCUCGAAAGCGUGGGGAGCAAACAGGAUUAGAUACCCCGGUAGUC